UCACUACUACAAAUAAUACAUUUCAUGACGAAACUUUCAUCUCACCCGACAAAAAACCGAGGUGUAAACCAUAGACGCGUCACAUUUUAAUGUUUUUUUUAAAAUACCAUAUAUUCCCUCGUUUGAGCUGGAAACCGAUGGGUAAAGUAUUUAGACGACAUGCUUUUAAAUCCCAACAACUAUAUUUUAGCGCCUUUUAGUUUUUU
rnacentral:lncRNA from 1 species